rnacentral:rRNA from 1 species
GUGGGGAAUAUUGGGCAAUGGGGGCAACCCUGACCCAGCGACGCCGCGUGAGGGAAGAAGGCCUUAGGGUCGUAAACCUCUGUUGUGUGGGAAGAAGGAAGUGACGGUACCACACGAGGAAGUCCCGGCUAACUACGUGCCAGCAGCCGCGGUAAUACGUAGGGGACGAGCGUUGUCCGGAUUUACUGGGCGUAAAGGGCGCGUAGGCGGUCAUUUAAGUCAGCUGUGAAAUGGUUUGGCUUAACCGGAUCAUGCGGUUGAAACUGGAUGACUGGAGUGCUGGAGAGGCAAGUGGAAUUCCCAGUGUAGCGGUGAAAUGCGUAGAUAUUGGGAAGAACACCGGUGGCGAAGGCGACUUGCUGGCCAGCAACUGACGCUGAGGCGCGAAAGCCAGGGGAGCAAACGGGAUUAGAUACCCGGGUAGUCC